GAAGCAGCUUCUCCGCUCCUUCUAGGAUCUCCGCCUGGUUCGGCCCGCCUGCCUCCACUCCCGCCUCCACCAUGUCCAUCAGGGUGACCCAGAAGUCCUACAAGGUGUCCACCUCUGGCCCCCGGGCCUUCAGCAGCCGUUCCUACACGAGUGGGCCCGGUUCCCGCAUCAGCUCCUCGAGCUUCUCCCGAGUGGGCAGCAGCAACUUUCGCGGUGGCCUGGGCGGCGGCUAUGGUGGGGCCAGCGGCAUGGGAGGCAUCACCGCAGUUACGGUCAACCAGAGCCUGCUGAGCCCCCUUGUCCUGGAGGUGGACCCCAACAUCCAGGCCGUGCGCACCCAGGAGAAGGAGCAGAUCAAGACCCUCAACAACAAGUUUGCCUCCUUCAUAGACAAGGUACGGUUCCUGGAGCAGCAGAACAAGAUGCUGGAGACCAAGUGGAGCCUCCUGCAGCAGCAGAAGACGGCUCGAAGCAACAUGGACAACAUGUUCGAGAGCUACAUCAACAACCUUAGGCGGCAGCUGGAGACUCUGGGCCAGGAGAAGCUGAAGCUGGAGGCGGAGCUUGGCAACAUGCAGGGGCUGGUGGAGGACUUCAAGAACAAGUGAGCAACUCCCACCCUCCACCCAACUGAAGUCACCAUGCUCUCCUCCACCCCUUGGGGCCUUGGGACUAAGUCCCCAUGGCCCUCUGUUGUGGGCAGUGCAGUCCUAUCUAAUUAGGGUGACCACCUGAUGAGGUUUGCUCGGAACAGUCUGUGUUUAUGCCCAGGUUCCUAGCACAAUUGUUGAUAGUACCCACCCCCUUUCGAUCUCAACUGUCUGGAUUUGAAGAACAAAUUAUGUGUCAAUGUUGAUGUGGUAAACCUGAGACGGGAGAGAUAGGCAGCCUAUGGGCCUCACUUUUGUACUUAUCAUUCUGGCCCCUCUUUAGUCUUGACCCUUGACCUCUAGCAAACUCUAGAAAGUUCUGUCUGAGGUCUCAUGUCAGGCCCUGCUGUGAACACUCUCAAGGUGUCCAAUCCGAUGUGUAUUCAUGGAUUUGGAGAGAGAUUUCCUGCUUCCCACGGGCUGAGGGAGGGGUGAGGGUGAAGAGGGCAGCUGGGGAAGGCAGAAGGACCAGCCUUCUCAUAUCCUGCAUCUCUGUGAACUGAAUUUUCCUGAUUUUCACAACGCCCCUGUCUCCCAAAAGACCAAGGGCAAUCUCCCUUUUGCCUUCAUCCUCUAAUUGUAAGUCUUUUCCUCACAGGUAUGAGGAUGAGAUCAAUAAGCGUACAGAGAUGGAGAAUGAAUUUGUCCUCAUCAAGAAGGUGAGGGAGUCUCCCUUCUCCUAUCUGGACACUGGAGGCUGGGGCUCAGAGACUCAGACCAAGAGGCUUUCUGGGUUUUGUCCCUAAAUAUUCCUAAGUAGUGGGACAAACUCAUUUAUGUCAACAUUUGGGUGCACAGAAAGGUAGACAAGGAUGGAGUGGUAGGUGCAUUUGGACAGAACUCUUGACAUCGGUGUUGGGACAUGGUUCAGAAAACAGAGCAGUAGAACUGGAGAUCUGGCUCUAGAAGGCUCCCUAGAGAAGGAGGUGGAAGAGGGUGCGUUGCAGGAAGCAGAGGUGAAGGUGUGUGGGCUGAGAAUGCACAUGUGAUGGGCAGAGGCUGGGCUGGAAGAUCAAUCCACAAAGUGGGCAACUAGAAAGUCCUGUGACCAGGCCAUUGGGUGGACCUUGGGAGCCCCUUGGUUGGGGUUGGGUGUGGAAACCCAGCUCAGGCUCCCCUCUCCUCAUCCCCCAGGAUGUGGAUGAAGCUUACAUGAACAAGGUAGAGCUGGAGUCUCGCCUGGAAGGGCUGACCGACGAGAUCAACUUCCUCAGGCAGCUGUAUGAAGAGGAGAUCCGGGAGCUGCAGUCCCAGAUCUCGGACACAUCUGUGGUGCUGUCCAUGGACAACAGCCGCUCCCUGGACAUGGACAGCAUCAUUGCUGAGGUCAAGGCACAGUACGAGGAUAUUGCCAACCGCAGCCGGGCUGAGGCUGAGAGCAUGUACCAGAUCAAGUAUGAGGAGCUGCAGAGCCUGGCUGGGAAGCACGGGGAUGACCUGCGGCGCACAAAGACUGAGAUCUCUGAGAUGAACCGGAACAUCAGCCGGCUCCAGGCUGAGAUUGAGGGCCUCAAAGGCCAGAGGGCUUCCCUGGAGGCCGCCAUUGCAGAUGCCGAGCAGCGUGGAGAGCUGGCCAUUAAGGAUGCCAACGCCAAGUUGUCCGAGCUGGAGGCCGCCCUGCAGCGGGCCAAGCAGGACAUGGCGCGGCAGCUGCGUGAGUACCAGGAGCUGAUGAACGUCAAGCUGGCCCUGGACAUCGAGAUCGCCACCUACAGGAAGCUGCUGGAGGGCGAGGAGAGCCGGCUGGAGUCUGGGAUGCAGAACAUGAGUAUUCAUACGAAGACCACCAGCGGCUAUGCAGGUGGUCUGAGCUCGGCCUAUGGGGGCCUCACAAGCCCCGGCCUCAGCUACGGCCUGGGCUCCAGCUUUGGCUCUGGCGCGGGCUCCAGCUCCUUCAGCCGCACCAGCUCCUCCAGGGCCGUGGUUGUGAAGAAGAUCGAGACACGUGAUGGGAAGCUGGUGUCUGAGUCCUCUGACGUCCUGCCCAAGUGAACACCUGCGGCAGCCCCUCCCAGCCUACCCCUCCUGCGCUGCCCCAGAGCCUGGGAAGGAGGCCGCUAUGCAGGGUAGUACUGGGAACAGGAGACCCACCUGAGGCUCAGCCCUAGCCCUCAGCCCACCUGGGGAGUUUACUACCUGGGGACCCCCCUUGCCCAUGCCUCCAGCUACAAAACAAUUCAAUUGCUUUUUUUUUUUGGUCCAAAAUAAAACC
rnacentral:sRNA from 1 species